rnacentral:rRNA from 1 species
AGGUUAAAAUAAUUAAGGGCACACAGGGAAUGCCUAGGUAGUAAGAGCCGAUGAAGGACGUGGUAAGCUGCGAUAAGCUUGGGUUAGCUGCAAACGAGCGCCAAUCCCAAGAUUUCCGAAUGGAGCAAUCUGCUAAGAUGGAGUCUUAGCACGAAAGAGGGUACCGAGUGAACUGAAACAUCUAAGUAACUCGAGGAAAAGAAAGUAAAAACGAUUCCCCAAGUAGCGGCGAGCGAACGGGGAUGAGCCUAAACCAUAUAAGUGUCAAGGAUACAGCCGUUGCUUAUAUGGGGUUGUGGGAAGAACGUUUGAAGAACUGUAAGAUAUUCAACAUAUCUAAUGACCGAACUGGAACUAGUUGGAAAGCUAGAUCGUAGAAGGUGAUAAUCCUGUACAGGUAAACUCAUUAGAAUGUAUGUUCUCUCCCAAGUAACAUGGAACACGAGGAAUUCUGUGUGAAUCUGCGAGGACCAUAUCUCGUAAGGCUAAAUACUCUUACUAACCGAUAGCGUAUAGUACCGUGAGGGAAAGGUGAAAAGAACCCCGGGAGGGGAGUGAAAUAGAACCUGAAACUGUGUGCUUACAAGCGGUCAGAGCUCUUCGGAGUGAUGGCGUGCCUUUUGGAGAAUGAUCCUGCGAGUUACGUUCAGUGGCGAGGUUAAGUAUAACGGAGCCGAAGGGAAACCGAGUCUGAAUAGGGCGACAUAGUCGCUGGGCGUAGACGCGAAACCUGGUGAUCUAAGCCUGUCCAGGGUGAAGCUGUGGUAAGACACAGUGGAGGCCCGAACUCACCGCCGUUGAAAAGUUGGGAGAUGAGGUAGGUUUAGGGGUGAAAAGCCAAUCGAACUAGGAGAUAGCUCGUUCUCUCCGAAAUGCAUUUAGGUGCAGCCUUGAGUGUUUAAUUAUGGGGGUAGAGCACUGAAUGAACUAGGGGGCAUAUUGCUUACUGAAUUCAAUCAAACUCCGAAUACCAUAAUUCAAAGCUCAGGAGUGAGACUAUGGGAAUUAACUUCCAUUGUCAAAAGGGAAACAACCCAGACCACCAGCUAAGGUCCCUAAUUAUAACUAAGUGGGAAAGGAGGUGGAGAUUCACAAACAACCAGGAGGUUGGCUUAGAAGCAGCCAUACCUUUAAAGAGUGCGUAAUAGCUCACUGGUCGAGAGUCUCUGCGCCGACAAUGUAACGGGGCUAAGUUAUAAACCGAAGCUGUGGAAUUGCGCAAGCAAUUGGUAGGAGAGCGUUCUGUAGGCCGUUGAAGGAGAAGCGCAAGCAACUCUGGAGGUAUCAGAAGUGAGAAUGCAGGAAUAAGUAGCGAGAAAGGGGGCGAGAAUCCCCCUCGCCGGAAGACCAAGGUUUUCAGGGUAAAGCUUGUCUUCCCUGAGUAAGCCGGGACCUAAGCCGAGGCUAAAAUGCGUAGGCGAAUGGAAAACAGAUUAAUAUUUCUGUGCCAGUUAUAUUUUGUGAAGGAGGGACGCAGAAGGGUAUGUGCGCGGGAGAACGGAAGUUCCCGUAGAAGCAUGUAGAGUGGUCUAGUAGGCAAAUCCGCUAGAUUAGACUUGAGGUGUGAU